GCCAAAGGCGGAGUUGAUUAGCGCUGUGGACAGGACCACAGAUGUAGAGUGUCAGGUUUUUGACACAUAGAAAUACCUGUGUGUCAGCGAGAACAGCGUUCAGUUAGUGUAUACCAGGAUUAAGCGAAGACGUGCAGUUAGAACACGUUCGUUGGCUGCCAAUCCCGCGCCAGAACAAAGACUGAGGAUUAAGAUCAACAACAGUUACCUGGUGUCCCAUACCUGACAUCAACAGCCGAUCUAUUCCAUUCCGCCAGUACAAGACAUGGAGAGGAAGCUGACGCUAAUUUACAGUCCUUGUCAGGAAUAGGGAGUUUGGUAGACUUUGCAAAUCCAGCACGAAAGUGGAGGUGGAACAUGUUUGAAAUCAAAAUCGAUUGCUGUCAAGUCUGCAUACCAGUGGUUUUACUUGCCAUCAAAUACCUUCUCAACACGUUGUCCUAUUUUCAAGCAUUCCUGCCAGCUGACCGUUUCUUGAGGAUAGCAUCUCCAGACCACCGGAAUUUUGGCUGGAAAUCAACGUGGCCUGUUGGAAGAUUGUAUAAUCCAGACAUACUGUUCUAUAAAAGUGGUGAUUCUGUCAGCAAAUUAUGCAUUUGUAUCAAUACUCAUUGGGAAUAUCUAUGGUGUGAUCCAAUCUACCCGAUGGUAUCUAGUAGAGGAGCACCAAGUCCAUAUGAACGUUGCACCACGUGCGAGUCUCACUCGCAUAUGCUGCCCAAGUCAUGAACAUUCCAACAUCUAGAUCAGUGGAUGCAUUUCAUUUUGAUCUGAUGUUUUCUAUUCAGAAAACCAAUAUUGUGUUAAUGUUGUCUUCCACAGAUUUCUUGAACAGCUAAUCUUAGUUUAAUUUAAAAUUUUGCUGCACACAAGCAUUAUCCCAGUUGAGUGUGAUUUCUACGUUGACUUCAUAACCAUCACCGUUAAGUUAUUUGGUCGACCUCACUUGCCUGUGUUUGAUUUGCUAUUCUUCAAAACCUUUUUCGCAUUUCAGAA